UACGUAGGGUGCAAGCGUUAAUCGGAAUUACUGGGCGUAAAGCGUGCGCAGGCGGUUAUGCAAGACAGAUGUGAAAUCCCCGGGCUCAACCUGGGAACUGCAUUUGUGACUGCAUGGCUAGAGUACGGUAGAGGGGGAUGGAAUUCCGCGUGUAGCAGUGAAAUGCGUAGAUAUGCGGAGGAACACCGAUGGCGAAGGCAAUCCCCUGGGCCUGUACUGACGCUCAUGCACGAAAGCGUGGGGAGCAAACAGG
rnacentral:rRNA from 1 species